CGCUAUCACUCCUACGGGGAGGCAGCAGUAGGGAAUCUUCCACAAUGGGCGCAAGCCUGAUGGAGCAACACCGCGUGAGUGAAGAAGGGUUUCGGCUCGUAAAGCUCUGUUGUUAAAGAAGAGCACGUAUGAGAGUAACUGUUCAUACGUUGACGGUAUUUAACCAGAAAGUCACGGCUAACUACGUGCCAGCAGCCGCGGUAAUACGUAGGUGGCAAGCGUUAUCCGGAUUUAUUGGGCGUAAAGAGAGUGCAGGCGGUUUUCUAAGUCUGAUGUGAAAGCCUUCGGCUUAACCGGAGAAGUGCAUCGGAAACUGGAUAACUUGAGUGCAGAAGAGGGUAGUGGAACUCCAUGUGUAGCGGUGGAAUGCGUAGAUAUAUGGAAGAACACCAGUGGCGAAGGCGGCUACCUGGUCUGCAACUGACGCUGAGACUCGAAAGCAUGGGUAGCGAACAGGAUUAGAUACCCUGGUAG
rnacentral:rRNA from 1 species